rnacentral:rRNA from 1 species
GACGAACGCUGGCGGCGUGCUUAACACAUGCAAGUCGAGCGGUAAGGCCCUUCGGGGUACACGAGCGGCGAACGGGUGAGUAACACGUGGGUGAUCUGCCUUGCACUCUGGGAUAAGCCUGGGAAACUGGGUCUAAUACCGGAUAUGACCUUUGGUUGCAUGAUCAGGGGUGGAAAGAUUUAUCGGUGCAAGAUGAGCCCGCGGCCUAUCAGCUUGUUGGUGGGGUAAUGGCCUACCAAGGCGACGACGGGUAGCCGGCCUGAGAGGGCGACCGGCCACACUGGGACUGAGACACGGCCCAGACUCCUACGGGAGGCAGCAGUGGGGAAUAUUGCACAAUGGGCGGAAGCCUGAUGCAGCGACGCCGCGUGAGGGAUGACGGCCUUCGGGUUGUAAACCUCUUUCGACUCCGACGAAGCGAAAGUGACGGUAGGAGUAUAAGAAGCACCGGCCAACUACGUGCCAGCAGCCGCGGUAAUACGUAGGGUGCGAGCGUUGUCCGGAAUUACUGGGCGUAAAGAGCUUGUAGGCGGCUUGUCGCGUCGAUCGUGAAAACUCGGGGCUCAACCCCGAGCUUGCGGUCGAUACGGGCAGGCUUGAGUACUUCAGGGGAGACUGGAAUUCCUGGUGUAGCGGUGAAAUGCGCAGAUAUCAGGAGGAACACCGGUGGCGAAGGCGGGUCUCUGGGAAGUAACUGACGCUGAGAAGCGAAAGCGUGGGUAGCGAACAGGAUUAGAUACCCUGGUAGUCCACGCCGUAAACGGUGGGUACUAGGUGUGGGUUUCCUUCCACGGGAUCCGUGCCGUAGCUAACGCAUUAAGUACCCCGCCUGGGGAGUACGGCCGCAAGGCUAAAACUCAAAGGAAUUGACGGGGGCCCGCACAAGCGGCGGAGCAUGUGGAUUAAUUCGAUGCAACGCGAAGAACCUUACCUGGGUUUGACAUACACCGGAAACCUGCAGAGAUGUAGGCCCCCUUGUGGUCGGUGUACAGGUGGUGCAUGGCUGUCGUCAGCUCGUGUCGAGAUGUUGGGUUAAGUCCCGCAACGAGCGCAACCCUUAUCUUAUGUUGCCAGCGCGUAAUGGCGGGGACUCGUGAGAGACUGCCGGGGUCAACUCGGAGGAAGGUGGGGACGACGUCAAGUCAUCAUGCCCCUUAUGUCCAGGGCUUCACACAUGCUACAAUGGCCGGUACAGAGGGCUGCGAUACCGUGAGGUGGAGCGAAUCCCUUAAAGCCGGUCUCAGUUCGGAUCGGGGUCUGCAACUCGACCCCGUGAAGUUGGAGUCGCUAGUAAUCGCAGAUCAGCAACGCUGCGGUGAAUACGUUCCCGGGCCUUGUACACACCGCCCGUCACGUCAUGAAAGUCGGUAACACCCGAAGCCGGUGGCCUAACCCUUGUGGAGGGAGCCGUCGAAGGUGGGAUCGGCGAUUGGGACG